AUUGAACGCUGGCGGAAUGCUUUACACAUGCAAGUCGAACGGCAGCACGGACUUCGGUCUGGUGGCGAGUGACGAACGGGUGAGUAAUGUAUCGGAACGUGCCCAGUCGUGGGGGAUAACGUAGUGAAAAUUACGCUAAUACCGCAUACGAUCUAUGGAUGAAAGCGGGGGAUCGCAAGACCUCGCGCGAUUGGAGCGGCCGAUAUCAGAUUAGGUAGUUGGUGGGGUAAAGGCCCACCAAGCCAACGAUCUGUAGCUGGUCUGAGAGGACGACCAGCCACACUGGAACUGAGACACGGUACAGACUCCUACGGGAGGAAGCAGUGGGGAAUUUUGGACAAUGGGCGAAAGCCUGAUCCAGCCAUUCCGCGUGCAGGAUGAAGGCCCUCGGGUUGUAAACUGCUUUUGUACAGAACGAAAAGGUUUCUACUAAUACUAGGAGCUCAUGACGGUACUGUAAGAAUAAGCACCGGCUAACUACGUGCCAGCAGCCGCGGUAA
rnacentral:rRNA from 1 species